rnacentral:rRNA from 1 species
AUUGAACGCUGGCGGCAUGCCUUACACAUGCAAGUCGUACGGUAACAGUUCAUCGGAUGCUGACGAGUGGCGAACGGGUGAGUAAUACAUCGGAACGUGCCUAGUAGUGGGGGAUAACUACUCGAAAGAGUGGCUAAUACCGCAUGAGAUCAACGGAGGAAAGCAGGGGAACGCCAGACAUUGUGCUACCAGAGCGGCUGUUGGCAGAUUAGGUGGUUGGUGGGAUAAAAGCUUGCAAAGCCGACGAUCUGUAGCUGGUCUGGGAGGACGAUCAGCCACACUGGGACUGAGAAACGGCCCAGACUCCUACGGGAGGCAGCAGUGGGGAAUUUUGGACAAUGGGCGCAAGCCUGAUCCAGCAAUGCCGCGUGCAGGAUGAAGGCCUUCGGGUUGUAAACUGCUUUUGUACGGAACGAAAAGCCCCGGGUUAAUACCCUGGGGUCAUGACGGUACCGUAAGAAUAAGCACCGGCUAACUACGUGCCAGCCGCCGCAGUAA